AGUCGAACGCGAAAACCUUCGGGUGAGUAGAGUGGCGCACGGGUGAGUAACACGUGGGUUAUCUGCCCUCUGGUCUGGGAUAACCCGGGGAAACUCGGGCUAAUACCGGUUAACACCAGCAAUGGCAAAAGCGGGGGACUCUUUCGGGAGCCUCGUGCCAGAGGAUGAGCCUGCGGUCCAUCAGGUAGUUGGUGAGGUAAGAGCUUACCAAGGCGAUGAUGGGUAGCUGGUCUGAGAGGACGAUCAGCCACACUGGAACUGAAACACGGUCCAGACUCCUACGGGAGGCAGCAGUGGGGAAUCUUGCGCAAUGGACGAAAGUCUGACGCAGCCACGCCGCGUGAGUGAAGAAGGCCUGCGGGUUGUAAAGCUCUGUCAGGAGGGACGAAAAUACUUUGGGUUAACAGCCCAAGGGACUGACGGUACCUCCGGAGGAAGCACCGGCUAACUCUGUGCCAGCAGCCGCGGUAAUACAGAGGGUGCAAGCGUUGUUCGGAAUUAUUGGGCGUAAAGGGGAGGUAGGUGGUCUUGUUUGUCAGGGGUGAAAUCCCGAGGCUUAACCUCGGACGUGCCUCUGAAAC
rnacentral:rRNA from 1 species